rnacentral:rRNA from 1 species
ACAGAGGUGGCAAGCGUUGUUCGGAUUUAUUGGGCGUAAAGGGUCCGUAGGCGGCCUGAAAAGUUGGAUGUGAAAUCCCACAGCUAAACUGUGGAACUGCAUUCAAAACUUUCAGGCUCGAGUGUGAUAGGGGUAAAGGGAAUUCCCGGUGUAAGGGUGAAUGCUGCAGAGAUCGGGAGGAACACCAGUAGCGAAGGCGCUUUACGGGAUCACUACUGAUGCUGAGGGACGAAAGAAAGGUGAGCAAACGG